rnacentral:rRNA from 1 species
GUCAGCGGCGGACGGGUGAGUAACACGUGGGCAACCUGCCUGUAAGACUGGGAUAACUCCGGGAAACCGGGGCUAAUACCGGAUAAUUCUUUCCCUCACAUGAGGGAAAGCUGAAAGAUGGUUUCGGCUAUCACUUACAGAUGGGCCCGCGGCGCAUUAGCUAGUUGGUGAGGUAACGGCUCACCAAGGCAACGAUGCGUAGCCGACCUGAGAGGGUGAUCGGCCACACUGGGACUGAGACACGGCCCAGACUCCUACGGGAGGCAGCAGUAGGGAAUCUUCCGCAAUGGACGAAAGUCUGACGGAGCAACGCCGCGUGAGUGAUGAAGGUUUUCGGAUCGUAAAACUCUGUUGUUAGGGAAGAACAAGUACCGGAGUAACUGCCGGUACCUUGACGGUACCUAACCAGAAAGCCACGGCUAACUACGUGCCAGCAGCCGCGGUAAUACGUAGGUGGCAAGCGUUAUCCGGAAUUAUUGGGCG